rnacentral:lncRNA from 1 species
GUUGGUCUCGCCGGUGAGGGAGCCCUGCUCGACGCGGAGCGUGGAGGAGACGAGGCGGAGCACCCGCAUGUCGGCGGGCACCUUGUCCCCGACGCGGAGCAUCACGACGUCGCCCGGGACGAGGUCGCGGGCAGGGAGGGCGGGCGCCCACUCGCCGUCGCGGAGCACGGCGGCGUGGUCGGACUGGAUCUGGCGCAGGGCCUCGAGUGCCUUCUCGGCGUUGGUCUCCUGCCACACCCCGACGGCGGCGUUGACGACGAGGAUGAGGAAGAUGACGAGCGGCUCGACGAAGGCCGAGAGCGUGAGCGCGCCGGCCGACGAGGAGAGCGCGAGCGCGAAGGAGACGGCGGCGGCGGCGAGGAGGAUGCGGACCAGCGUGUCCUCGAACUGCUGCGCCACGAGCUGCAGCACGGAGGGGCCCGGGUGCUCCAGCAGCUCGUUGGGCCCGUGCGCGCGCAGCCGCGCCGCCGCCUCCGACGACGAUAGCCCGCGGUCACGGUCCGUCCCGAACCGCUUCUCGCACUCCUCCACCGUCCGCGCCCACGCCGGGAACGGCGCCGCCAUCGCCCCCUUCCCCUCCUCCUUCACCGCCGGCGCGUCGUGCCCCGCCUCGCCCAUCGCGGACCGCGCCGAGGAAAGGAGUCGCCUUUGACGGAAGGCCCCCUCCGCCGGCGGCGAUCUCAGCAAUGCGAAAUCGAGAGGCGGCCUCGCGGAAUCCGCCCCGGGGACGGCGAGGACGCGGUCUUAUACCCCGCGCACGCCCACGGAUGUCGCUGGCGUCCGGGGCGAGAUCUCUUGCUUGGCCUUGGGGCGAGGCGGUUGUUAGCGUGUGGAGCCGGGAUUCCCUCCGCCCCGCAACGAACCAAUCAACACAACACAGAACCCAGACCCAAGCCCAAACGCAAAGCCGCCGCGCCGCCUCCCCCGGAGGUGCGAACGCCGGAGUUCCCUGUCUCCGGCGGCGGGCGGCGGGUUCGUGAGUCACCGGACGGAGAGGGGAGUGGAGGGGGUGGUUGGGUGAGGGGGGCAGAGGUGGUGGUGGUGGUGGGCAGGUGGGAAGGGCACGCCUGGCGUCCCGCCACGAGUACUUGUAGCCGCAGCAGCAGCACUCGCGCCGCGCAGGCCAGGGGGCGAGGAAGGUGGCAGGAAGCUUCGUGCGGGCGAUGGGUGGUAAUGGCGGUC